CGCCCCAGGGGCCGAUGCCUUUCCUCCACAGUUGGGAGCAGUGAUGCUUCUGAACCCCAGUUGCUGGAAGGGAAGGAGGGAAGAGUUGUGGCGGGGCUUGAAUCCUGCUUGCCGGUUUCCCAUGGAGGCAUCUGGCUGGCCUAUGUGAGAACCGGAAGCUGGACCAGAUGGAGCACUGGCCUGAUCCAGCAGGACUCUUUGAAUGUUCUCAUCUGCCACCACCACUGAAAUCUUCUUGUAGCGGCCAACCAAGUGCCAAUGGGAAACCGCCCAUGAGUGAAUCUCCUAUGAGGAAAGGUGGCAACAUUUGGGGCUGCUCCGUGAGAGGAAAGGCAAACCAGAGGGAGCAGGACAGGAGUUUGUAAAAUCAUGCUUGGCGCAGAGAAAGGGGAUAGAGAGAAGGUCCCUUCUCUCACACACAACACUAGAACUUGAGGACAUCCAAGGAGGCUGAAGGUUGGAAGAUGCAGGACAGAUAAAGUCCUCCAUGUGGUGUGGAGUUAGACUGUGGAACUCCCUGCCACAGGAGGCCGUGAGGGCCACCAGCCUGGAUGGCUUGAAGAGAGAACUAGACAAAAGGGAAUUCUUGGAGGAGGAAAAGGCUCUGGAAGGCCCAGGAAGGGAGAGUUGCUCUGGUGCUCCUGUUCUGCUUGCUGGGUCCCCAUGGGGGCAUCUGGCUGGCCCCGGUGAGAACAGGAGGCUGGAGCAGAUGGACCACUGGCCUGAUCCAACAGAACUCCCUCCCACAGGAGCCAGAGGUGGCUUGAAAA